GUUAUUGCAGUUGAGGUAAACUCCGAGCACCAAGGGACAGUACACCAGCUAACAGCUGGCGAAGGUAACUUCAGCGAAAGUGUCACAGAAAAGAAAACCGCCAAAAUUUUUGGUAAGGAUGAAAAGGCAGGGUAAGAGCCUACCGGCUGGGCGGUAACGUUCAGGCUUGAUAAACCGUGUGCGGUGCAAUCUCAUGUAGGAAAUGGUUUUAAGGCAGUCCCUCCGACAUUUCGGGUAGAGAGCGAUAGAAUUGCGCGGCGACGUGCAAUCAAGAUAAAUGAUGCUGGGGAAUUUGUAAAAAUUUUUAACAGAACUCGGGUUAUAAGACUACCU
rnacentral:RNase_P_RNA from 1 species